GCGUGGGUGAUGAAGGCCUUCGGGUUGUAAAGCCCUUUUGGCGGGGACGAUGAUGACGGUACCCGCAGAAGAAGCCCCGGCUAACUUCGUGCCAGCAGCCGCGGUAAUACGAAGGGGGCUAGCGUUGUUCGGAAUUACUGGGCGUAAAGGGCGCGUAGGCGGCUCUGUUAGUCGUGUGUGAAAGGCCUGGGCUCAACCCAGGAACUGCGCACGAUACGGCAGAGCUAGAGUGUGGGAGAGGUUGGUGGAAUUCCCAGUGUAGAGGUGAAAUUCGU
rnacentral:rRNA from 1 species